ensembl:miRNA
CCCUCUGUGUGUCGGGCUUGUUUUCAGUUGCCUGCGGUUGGUUAGAAGGACUCAGGCAGCUAAAGCAAGUCUGGGACGCGCGAGGAGAAC